AUGGGUGUCCCGGAAAGAGCCGGCCUUGUCAAGAAAGGUCCUGCGUGGGAGAGGGCAGAUGGGGUUCCACUGGGAUCUUCCUCUGAUAGGGGACUCGGUGAACCCAGAUCCAAAAGAUGGAGAAUAGUAAUCCCAAAGCCUAAGCCUAAUAUCUCAUGCACAUGGGCCAACGGAAAACUCACCUGCACUAUCAAGAAACAGGGAGGAAACUCACAGUCUAACAGAAAAUGAUGCAAGGACCUUACAGGGAGGAAACUCACAGUUUAACAGAAAAUGAUGCAAGGACCUUAAAAACAGAUUUUUAAAAUUUAUUUUAAAAAGUGUAUUCAGAUUUUUUUUAAAAUUAAAUAUUUAAACUUUUAA